rnacentral:rRNA from 1 species
GAUGAACGCUGGCGGCGUGCCUAAUACAUGCAAGUCGAGCGAAUGGAUUAAGAGCUUGCUCUUAUGAAGUUAGCGGCGGACGGGUGAGUAACACGUGGGUAACCUGCCCAUAAGACUGGGAUAACUCCGGGAAACCGGGGCUAAUACCGGAUAACAUUUUGAACCGCAUGGUUCGAAAUUGAAAGGCGGCUUCGGCUGUCACUUAUGGAUGGACCCGCGUCGCAUUAGCUUGUUGGUGAGGUAACGGCUCACCAAGGCAACGAUGCGUAGCCGACCUGAGAGGGUGAUCGGCCACACGGGGAAUGAGACACGGCCCAGACUCCUACGGGAGGCAGCAGUAGGGAAUCUUCCGCAAUGGACGAAAGUCUGACGGAGCAACGCCGCGUGAGUGAUGAAGGCUUUCGGGUCGUAAAACUCUGUUGUUAGGGAAGAACAAGUGCUAGUUGAAUAAGCUGGCACCUUGACGGUACCUAACCAGAAAGCCACGGCUAACUACGUGCCAGCAGCCGCCGUAA